rnacentral:lncRNA from 1 species
AUGUCCUGCGCUCUGUGGCACCUAGUAAACUGUGAAGUGAGGGAUAGUUACCCUGCCCCUUUGGAGAUGACUCGCAAACACGUGGCCAACAGGAACACUGGCCAAGCACAGAUGGGAAGGCCAGAGGCUGCUGCAGCCAUCCAUCUGGCACCAAGGAGUCCAUCCAGAAGAAUGAUGAUGAAGAUGAGAGUGAACGUUUAUACUGUGCUAACUAUAUGUGGCUUCCCAGGUGGUACAGGGUAAAGAAUCUGCUUGUCAAUCCAGGAGACUCAAGAAGCUCAGGUUUCGUGGAUUAAAAGGCUAAGUGGUACUCGUUAGAAGCGGGGAAGGGAGUAGAAGUUUUCUGGCACCGGAAACUAGCGGAUGACACGUCUCCACCAUGAUUGUGGUUCUAUAUUUUGCUAAAGCAAAGAGACCAGGUGUGGUUUUCCUCAUCUGAAAUUUGAUUAAACUUUUGAAAGUGUUAUUUGUUUCGAUCCAUACUCUUCAAGAAAAUAGUUUUGUAUCUAA